rnacentral:rRNA from 1 species
AGCGAACGCUGGCGGCAGGCCUAACACAUGCAAGUCGAACGAACUCUUCGGAGUUAGUGGCGGACGGGUGAGUAACACGUGGGAACGUGCCUUUAGGUUCGGAAUAACUCAGGGAAACUUGUGCUAAUACCGAAUGUGCCCUUCGGGGGAAAGAUUUAUCGCCUUUAGAGCGGCCCGCGUCUGAUUAGCUAGUUGGUGAGGUAACGGCUCACCAAGGGGACGAUCAGUAGCUGGUCUGAGAGGAUGACCAGCCACACUGGGACUGAGACACGGCCCAGACUCCUACGGGAGGCAGCAGUGGGGAAUCUUGCGCAAGGGGCGAAAGCCUGACGCAGCCAUGCCGCGUGAAUGAUGAAGGUCUUAGGAUUGUAAAAUCCUUUCACCGGUGAAGAUAAUGACUGUAGCCGGAGAAGAAGCCCCGGCUAACUUCGUGCCAGCCGCCGCCGUAAGAC